rnacentral:tRNA from 1 species
GAGGGUAUAGCUCAGCAAUAGAGCACAUGCUUAGCAAGCGUGAGGUCCUGGGUUCAAUCCCCAGUACCUCCA